rnacentral:rRNA from 1 species
UUGGCGACCGGCGCACGGGUGCGUAACGCGUAUGCAACCUACCUUUAGCAGGGGCAUAACACUGAGAAAUUGGUACUAAUUCCCCAUAACAUUCGAGAAGGCAUCUUCUUGGGUUAAAAACUCCGGUGGUUAAAGAUGGGCAUGCGUUGUAUUAGCUAGUUGGUGAGGUAACGGCUCACCAAGGCAACGAUACAUAGGGGGACUGAGAGGUUAACCCCCCACAUUGGUACUGAGACACGGACCAA